GCUGGAAUAGUUUAGUUGGUUAGAGUGUGUGAUUAUUAAUCACAAAGUUGGAAGCUCUAGCUCUCCUUUUAGCG
rnacentral:tRNA from 1 species